GACGGAGGGGGCAAGCGUUGUCCGGAAUCACUGGGCGUAAAGGGCUCGUAGGCGGUUUGUCGCGUCGGGCGUGAAAACCCCGGGCUUAACUCGGUGCUUGCUUUCGAUACGGGCAGACUAGAGGCAUGCAGGGGAGAACGGAAUUCCUGGUGUAGCGGUGAAAUGCGCAGAUAUCAGGAGGAACACCGGUGGCGAAGGCGGUUCUCUGGGCAUGUCCUGACGCUGAGGAGCGAAAGUGUGGGGAGCGAACAGG
rnacentral:rRNA from 1 species